rnacentral:piRNA from 1 species
UCCUGGGAAGGAGCAUGCAUCCUGUCGGGGU